UUUGCUAGGAAUAGGCGUUCCUUGGGUUGGGGGUUAGAGCUGGGCAGGGUGCCAUACACAUUUUUAACCAGUGUGUAUCUGCUGAUUGCCUGCCAUGUGUCGUUUUCAUAAAGCCUGCAGUCUGAUGGGAGGGGCUGUCAAUGUAUGAAAAAAGUACAGAAUGUAAAGUGCUAUGAGAUACAAGGGGAUGUGGAAAGUUCUUUGAGGAGGCUAUUCAAUUCAAGGUGGAAAUACCAGCUUUAUCCUCAGAUGGACCCUACCUAAUGGGUUGGAGUGUUGUUGCAGGUUUGAUUCUCAGGCACCUGCCUAGGUUGUGAGUUCCAUCCCCAUUGGGGGCAUAAAUGGAAAGCAGCUACAUGGAUGUUCUGCCCUCUGACCCUCCAAUCUCCUCUCCUCACCCCCUAAAAUUUAAACAGCAAUAUACACACAAGGGGGAGAGGGAGAAGGGGACCCUAAUAACGUGUUUCCUUGAAAAUAAGACAU